rnacentral:rRNA from 1 species
AACGAACGCUGGCGGCGCGCCUAAUACAUGCAAGUCGAGCGAGAAGACGUAGCAAUACGUUUGUAAAGCGGCGAACGGGUGAGGAAUACAUGGGUAACCUACCCUCGAGUGGGGAAUAACUAGCCGAAAGGUUAGCUAAUACCGCGUACGCUCCUUGGACUUCGGUUCAGGGAGGAAAGCGAUACCGUGGGUAUCGCGCUCUUGGAUGGGCUCAUGUCCUAUCAGCUUGUUGGUGAGGAACGGCUCACCAAGGCUUCGACGGGUAGCUGGUCUGAGAGGACGAUCAGCCACACUGGCACUGCGACACGGGCCAGACUCCUACGGGAGGCAGCAGUAAGGAAUAUUGCGCAAUGGGCGAAAGCCUGACGCAGCGACGCCGCGUGGGGGAUGAAGGUCUUCGGAUUGUAAACCCCUUUCGGGAGGGAAGAUGGAACGAGCAAUCGUUCGGACGGUACCUCCAGAAGCAGCCACGGCUAACUUCGUGCCAGCCGCCGCUGUAAU